rnacentral:rRNA from 1 species
GUAGUCAUAUGCUUGUCUCAAAGAUUAAGCCAUGCAUGUCUAAGUAUAAACAAGUUUGUACUGUGAAACUGCGAAUGGCUCAUUAAAUCAGUUAUAGUUUAUUUGAUGGUACCUUGCUACACGGAUAACUGUGGUAACUCUAGAGCUAAUACAUGCAAUAAAGCCCCGACUUCCGGAAGGGGUGUAUUUAUUAGAUAAAAAACCAACGCGGUUCGCCGCUCCCUUGGUGAUUCAUAAUAACUGCUCGAAUCGCAUGGCCUUGUGCUGGCGAUGCUUCAUUCAAAUAUCUGCCCUAUCAACUUUCGAUGGUAGGAUAGUGGCCUACCAUGGUUUCAACGGGUAACGGGGAAU